UUGAACAGCCAUAUCACCCUGCAGCCCAAGACCGGUUACUCACUGAAGCUAAAGCAGGGCUGAGCCCGGUCAGGAUGGGAGACCACGAGGGAACAUAGGUUGCUGUUGAAA
rnacentral:rRNA from 1 species